CUCAAGCCCCACCUCCCGCUUCUGUGGAGAAUUGGAGCAUAAAGGGAUUGAGGAUUUGAGGGUGGCUUUUUAAUCUCAAAAAGGCAAGACAUAAUCAAGUGAAGAGGUAAUCCGACAGCACAGGAGGUGAAAGGGAAGAUGCUGCUAACCUGUCCACCGCGUGAUCCUGGUACCGGCCGCGAUCUCUGUGGUCAAAGCUGUGGAAGCGGUCUUGACGGCUGAAGUCUGAAUGGUAUCGGUCAUUCAUGGCCAUCCGCUUCGCCUCGGGCCAGUACGAAUCAUCACGCCUGCAAGGAAAACAGACUCAGCGUUGGACCGAAGACCCUGUGCCAGAAGUUGCUGACAGUGCCCCAGCCCUGAAGACUGGUGUCACUUGGACCCCAUUUACUGGGAGAAACAUAACCCCUUUCAACGUGGCGAGGGACACCCAACUCAGGGACAGCCG